UACGUAGGGAGCAAGCGUUGUCCGGAAUCAUUGGGCGUAAAGCGCGCGUAGGUGGCUUCGUAAGUCCGUUGUGAAAGUCAAAGGCUCAACCUUUGAAAGCCGAUGGAUACUGUGGAGCUAGAGUACGGAAGAGGCGAGUGGAAUUCCUGGUGUAGCGGUGGAAUGCGCAGAUAUCAGGAAGAACACCCGUGGCUAAGGCGGCUCUCUAGUACGGUACUGACGCUGAGACGCGAAAGCGUGGGGAGCGAACAGG
rnacentral:rRNA from 1 species